rnacentral:rRNA from 1 species
UACGUAGGGGGGCUAGCGUUGUCCGGAAUCAUUGGGCGUAAAGCGCGUGUAGGCGGUCCGGUAAGUCUGCUGUGAAAGUCGGGGGCUCAACCCUCGAAUGCCGGUGGAUACUGUCGGGCUAGAGUGCGGAAGAGGCGAGUGGAAUUCCUGGUGUAGCGGUGAAAUGCGCAGAUAUCAGGAGGAACACCUAUUGCGAAGGCAGCUCGCUGGGACGUAACUGACGCUGAGACGCGAAAGCGUGGGGAGCAAACAGG